AGAAAGGGAGAAAGAGCUGAUCCUGCAGUCCCCCAGCGGCCUAGACCUGAUGGUUCCACCCCUUGAGGUCUCCACCGCCUCUCAGUGGUGCUCAACUGGUACUACGAUUCCAAAAAUAGAGAAAAAUAAGCACGAUUGUCAGAAUCUGAGUCCAGGGUGAGAGGCACAAGGUCUUCCCUGAGUCAGACACUUAGGGCCAGUGGGACCCAAACUGGUGAUCCUCCUGCCUCAGCCUCCCAGAGUGCUGUGGUUACAGGCAUGCACCACCAUGCUUGACCCACUCAUGUCUUUCUUAAAUCUUUCCUUAUUCUUCUGGUUUCAUGGGAGGCUUGAAAUAUGACAACUGUCGUCAAAGGUCAUUUGGAUUUGAGUCAAGAGACGAACAGGUGAAUUUCUUAAGGCAAGUCCCUCCACGCAGGUCAGACUUCCUUCGGUGCCGUUACCAAUUUCCUAAGAAUCAUGAGUGCUCCAAAGGCCCAACUUGCCUUGUCUGGGAUUCAAUUCUACUGCAAUCAAUGACUUGAGAAAUUUUUCAUUCUGAAGAUGUUGCUGGCUCCUCUAAGGGGAGGUGUUUGAAUCACCUGUUAAUAUUGCAGUGAGGCACCCUUUCACCUUUCAAGUUUAGAUCUGGCCCCCUAAGAUUAAAAAUUAGUCCCAAUCUCCAGAACCUGCAUCUGUGUCACCGUCCAUGGCACCAGGACUUGGCUGUGUGAUUAAGGUUAAGGACUUGAGCCAGGGAUUUAGCUCAGUGGUUCCAGUGCCUACCUUGAAAGCACAAGGUCCUGAGUUUGAUCCCCAGUACCAAAAGAAAAAAAAGAAGGUAAAAGACUUGAGAUGGGAGAUCAUCCUGGAUUAUCUGGCUGGGCCCAGUAUAACCACAGGAAUCCUGAAAAGUGGAGAAUCUUUGCAAGGUAUGGUGGUGCAUGCCUGUAAUUCCAGUUACUCAGGAGGCUGAGGCAGGAAGAUUGCAAAUUCAAAGCCAGCCUGAUUCAGUCUCAAAAUAAAAUUUUUUAACAGUGUGGUGCUUACUGCUUGCAGUCAUUGCAAGCUCCCUGAGCUCAUGUUUGGCAAGCACAUGACAGUCACUCGGCUCCACAUUCACCCUGCCACUCGGGCCUUGGCUGAGUGCCACUUGGGACCCGUCCUUGUGAGGGUUCGAGAGGCCACUGCCUCCUUCUGUUUGUGACUAAUUUCCAUCCUCCUGAAUGUCCCACAUUCGUUGCAAAUCACACCUGAUGGGAGAAGCCUGUCUUGAGGGAGGAUAACGUCCUUUCCCCUCGCUGUGGAGACUGAAGGCCCCCGGAGCUUGAGCUCUGAGUGGGUGGUGAAAACAGAGGGCCCAGCCUGCAGGAGGAGGCGACACUGAGCCAGAGCAGGAGCCCAGGCUCCUGAGUCUUUUCCUGGGAAAAUCGAGGGCCUUCGGAGGAACCAUUUCCCCACACCUGCUCAUCAGGACCGAAGUGAUCUUUGACUUUUUCCUUUUUUUUUAUUAAGUUUAUUGGUACAUUUUAAAUGACCACAUUCACCAGAGGGAAUCUACCUGUACAUGAUACAUCUUGGUUCUUAUUUUUCUGCAG
ensembl:lncRNA